rnacentral:rRNA from 1 species
GACGAACGCUGGCGGCGUGCCUAAUACAUGCAAGUAGGACGCAGUUGCGAACGGGUGAGUAACGCGUAGGUCACUACAUAUUAGAGGGGGAUAACUAUUGGAAACGAUAGCUAAUACCGCAUACUAGUAGAUGGACCUGCGGUGUCUUAGCUAGUAGGUAGGGUAAUGGCCUACCUAGGCAACGAAACAUAGGCGACCUGGGGAGGGGAGCGGCCAAAACUGGAAGGGGAAACGGCCCAGACUCCCACGGGGGGGCGCAGUAGGGAAUUUGCGGCAAUGGGGGGAAAGCUGACCGAGCAACGCCGGGGUAGUGAAGAAGGUUUUCGGAGCGUAAAGCUCUGUUGUUAAGGAAGCGGUACUUAACCAGAAAGGGACGGCUAACUACGUGCCAGCAGCCGCGGUAAUAC